rnacentral:rRNA from 1 species
UACGAAGGGGGCUAGCGUUGCUCGGAAUCACUGGGCGUAAAGGGUGCGUAGGCGGGUCUUUAAGUCAGGGGUGAAAUCCUGGAGCUCAACUCCAGAACUGCCUUUGAUACUGAAGAUCUUGAGUCCGGGAGAGGUGAGUGGAACUGCGAGUGUAGAGGUGAAAUUCGUAGAUAUUCGCAAGAACACCAGCGGCGAAGGCGGCUCACUGGCUCGAUACUGACGCUGAGGUGCGAAAGCGUGGGGAGCAAACAGG